CGACAGGCAUGCCUUACCGGGGGUAAAUUCUUGAGCCCCUAACCCGCAGGGGGAAAUAGGAUUGGUCAAUCAGUUUGGCUGAAACAAGCAUUGGAACCAUAAUGGAAAGCACAGCAACAAUAUGAAUUCUCGUUUUGGAAAAUGUAUGUUAAUAUGUUAGCAAUAUGAAUUUUCACUUAUGUUUGUUCCAAUAAACCGAAAUACAAACUAUACCGGACCCACCCCUGCACCGCAUUAUUUCUUACAAAUUAUGGCAACAUCGCUUUCGCCUUACUUUGUUUUAUUCAUUGCUCUUUUUUAAGUAUGGCAACAUCGCUUUAGCCAUGUAUUUGUGUGUAAUGGGUGUCUUAGUAAUUUUAGUGUAAAAUUAAAUGUUAAUAAUAAUAAAACUAUUGCGAAAUUCAGCAUUUCCAAACUUUUAAUGAAGAGAUAAUCAUCAAAUACACAUACUUAGCCGAAAACCCCAUAAUUUCUGGACAGUAUUAGCAAAAGCCGCUCUCGUGCAUUAUUACCCUUAAAAGCAUGUUUUUAAAAAUGGAUGGCUGCGUAAAGAAAUGGGCUGAGCUUUGAUAUGCAGCCCCACUUGAUAUUGUAAGCAAACAACCAGGAAUUUCGACAUGAAACUUCGUAGGAAUGAUGAGAGAAAUAUAUUUUUCCAAUAUUUUAACUUUUGAAAUUUGAAUAUAUUAUAGUUUAUAAGUUAUUUGUGGUUAUAAAUUGUUAUCUUUAUUCCAUUAUUCCUUUAUGAAUCGGUCACUAUUCUUUCAUUUUUGUUUAACAAAAACAAAUAUUACUUUGAUUUUAUUAAAUAGUUUCACUCAUUUUGUAUAUAUUAACGCGCAAUGUGACUUAAAUAAAGAUUAACAAAUUAUAUU